rnacentral:rRNA from 1 species
GCUCGACUCUAGCCCACCCAUAAUAAAUAAGCAUUAAAUGAUAAAAAAAUUAUUCCCCACAAAAAACCAAAGCAUUUUGGCACCCUAGUAUGGGCGACAGAAAAGGUUAACCUCCAUUGGCGCUAUAGAGACCAUAUGUACCGUAAGGGAAAGAUGAAAUAGUAGUGAAAAACCAAGCAAAAAAUAGCAAAGAUAAGCCCUUGUACCUUUUGCAUCAUGAUUUAGCAAGAAAAACCAAGCCAAACGAAUUUAAGCUUGCCCUCCCGAAACCUAAGCGAGCUACCUUCAAGCAGCUAUUAGUUGAGCGAACCCGUCUCUGUUGCAAAAGAGUGGGACGACUUGUUGGUAGUGGUGAAAAGCCAACCGAGCUAGGUGAUAGCUGGUUGCCUGUGAAACGAAUCUAAGUUCCACCCUGAUCUCCCUCAAUAUGGAUAGCUAACUUCCCAAUCCCCCACUGUAGUUAAUCAGGUGAUACUUAAAGGAGGUACAGCUCCUUUAAAAGAGAAUACAGUCUCUCUAAGAGGAUAAGCCACCAAAAAUAUUUCUCACACUUGUAGGCCCUAAAGCAGCCACCAACAAAGAGUGCGUCAAAGCUCUACAUCCAAAGAUCUACAAAACAUCAUGACUCCCUCCCCACUAACAGGCUAAUCUAUCGUUUAAUAGAAGAAUCAAUGCUAAAAUGAGUAACUUCAGGGAUCUCCCCUCUAAAGGCGCAAACUUACAUCCAAUAUUAUUGACAGAUCUACAAAUAACCAAAACCUGACAUUACUAGACCUGAUAUUCGAUUAUCUGUUAUACCAACCCAGGAGCGCCUAAAAGAAGAUUUAAAUCUGUAAAAGGAACUAGGCAACCCCAAGGCCCGACUGUUUACCAAAAACAUAGCCUUCAGCCAACCAAGUAUUGAAGGUGAUGCCUGCCCAGUGACCCUGUGUUCAACGGCCGCGGUAUCCUAACCGUGCAAAGGUAGCGCAAUCAAUUGUCCCAUAAAUCGAGACCUGUAUGAAUGGCUAAACGAGGUCUUAACUGUCUCUUACAGAUGAUCAGUGAAAUUGAUCUCCCUGUGAAAAAGCAGGGAUAAUCCCAUAAGACGAGAAGACCCUGUGGAACUUUAAAAUCAGCAGCUACCCACAACAUAACAAAUCUCCCUACAUAGGGUAACUAUCUAGACAUGUUAGCUCGCAUUUUUUGGUUGGGGCGACCUUGGAGAAAACCAAAUCCUCCAAAAAUCAGACCAAACCUCUUAACCAAGACCCACACCUCAACGUGCUAAUAGCGACCAGACCCAGUACAACUGAUCAAUGGACCAAGCUACCCCAGGGAUAACAGCGCUAUCCCCUUCAAGAGCCCAUAUCGACAAGGGGGUUUACGACCUCGAUGUUGGAUCAGGACAUCCUAAUGGUGCAGCCGCUAUUAAGGGUUCGUUUGUUCAACGAUUAAUAGUCCUACGUGAUCUGAGUUCAGACCGGAGUAAUCCAGGUCGGUUUCUAUCUAUGAUCAACUUUCCCUAGUACGAAAGGACUGGAAAAGUAAGGCCAAUGUAUCAACCCAUGCCUUCCCCAAAAGUAAUGACACCAUCUUAAUUACCAAAGGGCUACCCACUCCCACAUCCUAGAAAAGGACUCA